UGUCUUAAUAGUCGACCGCUGUGCAC
rnacentral:piRNA from 1 species